UGAACAUAGUGGAGCAUGUGUCCUUCUUACCGGUCAAAGCAGCUCUUAUAAAAGCAAACAUUUAACUGUGUCUGGCUUAUAGUUUCAGAGGUUCAGUCCAUUAUCAUCAUGGCAGGAAGCAUGGCACAUGCAGACAGACAUGGUGCUGAAGAAGGAGCUGAGAGUUCUGCAUCUUGAUUUGAAGGCAACCAGAAGAGACUCUUUCAGGCAGCCAGGAGGAUUGUCUCAAAGCCCACUUCCACAGUGACACACUUUCUCCCACAAGGCCACACCUCCAAUAAGGUCACACCUAAUAUUGUCACUUCCCAUUAGCCAAGCAUGUCCAAACCACCACAUCCGGGCUCUUCCUCUUGCAGAGUAGAGGUUCCAGUACAUUCCUAACAUCUAGGAAUCCUCCAGAAUGAGGCUGCCCCCAAGCUCUGAGUGCUCCAAUCUGAGUGUCAAGCUAUUUACUUAGCUUCUGUCUUCCCCUUUGCCAGGCCUAGAACAUUCUCUGAUGGCUUGGCUCAUAUUCUCUAAAGCUGUCAGCAUACCCUUGGGAAAAUGAUGAAAACCCUAAUGCGAAACCCAGCAAGGUUCACUUAGAGACCCGUGAGGAUUCAGGCCUGCCUUCUAUAGGUGUGAGGGUUGAACUGUGUGCAACAAAAUAAUUAUGUGGAGCAGAAAGCAAAGUGUCCAUCCUUUGGCUCUAACGUGAGAAAUGAGAAGCAUUAGAUGAUAAAUGCCCUCAUAUUCUUGGGCACUUGCAUACUUGAUCCCCAGUUGGUGAUGCUGUUUGGAGAGGCCUAGUAGGUAUGGGAUGGCUGAAGGAAGUAUGUUACUUGAAACGGGCUUUGGGGUUUCAGAAGCCACACUCUCUGCUUCCCGCUUGUUGUUUGGGAUGUGAGCCCUCAGCUCAGUGUCCAGCUCUAGAUGCUGUGAUUGCAUGAUUGCUGCCUCACUUCCCUGACAUGAUGGAGAAGCAUCUUCCCCUCUGCAGUCACAAGCCCCAGCGAGCCCUUCCUUCCAUACGUUGCCUUGCUCAUGGUGUAUUAUCACAGCAACAGGACAGUCACUAUGCACAAACCAGCCCUUCCUGUACACAGACGGAAAUUAAGACAGCCAUGGUCCUACCCGAUAACACUUCCAGAAUGCUCGGAGCCCAGUGCACAGAAAGCUAGUUGAUCUUUCUGGGAACUCUGUUAUCUCUGAGGGCUGUUAAAGAGUUGACAAGAUUUUUAACCUAAAAUCCCAGGUAGUCAUCAAGCCAGACUUGAAAACAAAGAUAGAAUUAUUGAGGACUGCUUGUUGGUUGGCUUGCUUACCUUCUUGGCAUUUGGGAAGAGCACAGGGAUGAAUCUGAAGUUCAUGCUUCCCUGACUUAUGAACUCAAUCUGCAUCUAAAACCAAAAAAUAUGAAGACUUAAUCCAGGGUCAAAGAUGAGUUGAUGUGUCAACAACACUACCAGCCCACAGGACAACUUUAUUCUGGGUGGUUUAUUUGAGUGCCAAAUUGCUUAAAAUUUUAAGCUUCCUCCAGACACAUUAUGCCACUUUUUCUGUAUAGACCACUAUGAUGGCUAUUGUUGGCUGUCAACCUGAGUACGUCUAGAAUUAACUAAAAACUAAAGAUGGGUGGGUACACAAGUGAGGGAUUUUUGCUUAAUUAACCCAUUCAAAAUGGGAAGAUCCACUUCUAAGCCUGAUCUUUGAGGUGGGAAGAUCCACCUUUAAUCCAGAUCUUUUGAAAUGCAAAAACCCACUUCUAAUUUGGGCCACACCUUGCGCUGGAAGCCUUUAUGAAUGGAAGAAGGAAGCAUUCCUCUCUGCCUGCUUGCUCUCACUCUCACUAGCACAUCCAUUCCUACACUAGAUUAGAGCCUGCUUCUUCAGGAUUCCAGUAUAUACUGAAGAGCAGCUGAGAAAUCUGGCUUCGUGGAUAGAAUAGCUACUGGAUCCUUGAAUCUUCUGUUGGUAGACAGCCAUUUUUAGACUAGCUGGACCAGAACCUUUAAGCCUUUAAGCCAUUCUAAUAAAUUUCCAUAUGGAGAGAGUUCUAUCCUUCUAGAAAAUCCUGAGUAAUACAGCCACUUACUGAAGACCUAUUAAAAUCACUUUCUGCUGGGCGGUGGUGGCGCAUUCCUUUAAUCCUAGCACUUGGGAGGCAGAGGCAGGCAGAUUUCUGAGUUGGAGGCCAGCCUGCUCUACAGAGUGAGUUCCAGGACAGCCAGGGCUACACAGAGAUUGUCUCGGGGGAAAAAAAAAUCACUUUUUGGGGACCAGAAAGCUGGCUAGCAGGUACAGUUGCUUGCUGCCUUGUCUGAGAACCUAAGUCCUAUCCCUGGAGCCCACACGGCGGAAAGAAAGAGAGAACUGACUCCUGCAAGUUCUCCGUGGAUCUCUACUGUUUAGUGACACAAUUUGUUUUCAGUUAGGGUCUCACAUGUAGCCUGUAAUUCACUACAUGGCCCAGGUUGAGUUUGAACUAAAAGCAGUUCUCCUUUGUCAGCCUCCUGAGUGCUGACCUGGGUUUUAAAGAUUAGGAGUAUGCAGGGGCUGGGCCACCUCAGUUUAUAAGAUAAGGCUGGGUGUCCCUCUCUCAGUUCUUUAGUCUAUGGCUUUAUAUUACUUGCUUUCUAUUGCCAAGUAUGAGAGUACUUCUAAUAUGAAAAUGAGUAAAAGCUAAAACCCAGGGUUGGUUGGUUGGUUGUUUAGCAGGGCACCACUGAUACGAUUUGGACAAUCCUCCCAAAGCUAUCGAUCUAGUGAGCAGGCAGGAAGGAAAAUUGCUAACCAGAGGACAGACAGCAGAAGAGUGUGAUGCUCAGGGGCUAUCUGUUCUGCUUCUGGGAGCCUGGAGGACAGUAACAGGAGAGGGAUCCCUGGGCAUGAAGAAGGUUCUGGUCGGGUAGACAAAGGUGGGGGAAAGCGAGGGCAGAGGGCACGCAAGCCUGGAGGAGGUGUGUUGUUCUGACUGCAGCCAUCUAGCAAUUCACUUCUGGGGCACAGUAGGCCUGACAGAGGAGGCUAGGAGGUUAACCAUGAGGAGCCCACUCUGUCAGGCCUGAGGUUCCCUCACCAGAUCAGUCAGACUCUGCUCACCCAAGAGGAUUUACCUACAAGAACUCAAACAAAAUCAGAAUUUUUCAAUACUGAGAGAGUUAAAGUUUUCCAGAUUCCCAAGGCCAGCACAGAGCUUUUAGCCAUCUGAUGCCAAAGAUAAGAGCAAGGCAUUAUGUACCCUGAACAGUGUCAUCCUCCGAUUGAUUUUCAGAGCAGAACCUUUUGUUGUGCAUGAAAAUAAAACUGAGAAGUGAAUGUGGAGGCGCCGACAACCUCACUCUCACAGUGCGGAUCUGCCACCCGGGUCUUCUCAGAGCCAGCUCCCUUCCAAACAGAAGACAACACCAAAAGCAUACACCACAUACUCAGUUCAAGUACCAGCCAUGCCAUCUCGAAGAAAGCGCCUGCAGUCAGGGGCUGAGUUACAGUAGAGGGAGGGUUCAUUCCAGCUUCAAGGGCAGUGUGGGCUACUUGGUCUGUCCACUAGGCUCCUGCUCUGUCAAAGACAAGCCCUCAGCAGUAUACUUUUGUUGUCUCUCAUAAUUUCUUUCAGAGACUGGCUUUCUAAUGGCAUCAUUUGAUUUGUGUAGUAACUACUCAGAUGCCUAGAGGAGGCAAGGAAGUCGGCCUAUCAAUGGGGAGAUACUGAUGGCGCAUCCAGUCCCUUCUGUGACGAGGAGAAGCCAAAGACAUUAGGGCCAAGAAACCAAAUUUGGAGACCACAUGGCUAUAGCUGGCACAGUCAUUGGGUUGAACUGUGUGUAUUACUGGCUGGCUUUUCAAUAUACUAGCACAACUAAACAGGUUUGUCCAGGAACUGGUAGGGACCUGGAGUCCUUCCCAAGUACCAACUGCUGGUUCCUGGGACUGGCAGGUUCUUAGAGAUGUAGACAGAAUGUCAGUAUUCUGGGAAUGUGCAGACAUGAUACAGACAGCUAAGGGAUAGAAAUAUCCAGUCAGUCAUGACCUUCAUGGAUCAGUUUAUUUCUAAGAAUACUAUUUUUCAGACUCCACAGGCUGGCACUGGGUAAGACUGGAUAUGAGGCAGACUUAGCUCCUGACCCUUAGCCAGACCCUUGAAUUUUACCACCUUACCUUAGCUUCCACUUUGGGUUGUAAACUCAAACAAGUGGUUCACACUGACAGAGAUCCUAAAGACUCAGAUGAUAAGGGUGCUGCUUACACACCUUCCCUGCCCUCUACCCACAGGGUGGAUGGUGGUCAACUUUUCUUUCCCCUGGGGAAAAGGUGGCCUGAGGCUACUGACUGUGUCCUGCCCUAUGCUGCUUACUUAGUCCUUGCAGUGAGGUGUGAUGAUCCCCGAUCUCCGUGCAGGAUGAGACUGAAACUGGGUUGUGAGUUCAAGUCCAGUGACUUCCCUGCUCUUUCUCUAAUGUCAGAAUCCUUGGUAAAAAACAAGCCAGAGAAACCAGGGCCACUCUUGCCUUCAGACACACAGUUCCCACAGGACAGUGUGAAAGUCACAGGUCUAGUCUGGCUUCCUAGUUAAAUAGAAAUGGUCUCUAACGUAUCUCUAAAUCUACAAAGGACAAGAUGGCAAGCAGUCCAUAAAACAGCUAGCUCUGAAGCUGGGUAAUAUUUCCUCCAAGUUGUUGAGCAAGUUUGAUUCCUUCUAAAUUCUCCCAUGGUUUAAGUGUAACCAAGCCCCACGGCACAGGUUAGGGAGUAGAAUGUUCCCCACCUAUCACAAAAGAACAAAUAUCUCUUUGGUUAAGUGUUUUCUUGUGCCAAAUGCUUUGAAUAUCACUUCACUUAUCUUCACAGCACCGUGUAUAGUGAUGAUCCAUUUUGUGAACAGGGUUGCAGAAGGGCAGGAUUUAAGAACUUGGGCCAUGGCCACAUAGCCUGUGCUUAGGAGGCUAAUGUGACACAUGCUUUUUUGGCAUGACAGAAGUGUCCUUCCCAAUUUUCACUUGCCUCUCUGAAAAAGGGAGGAACAGAAUGUAACAGCUACAAUGCCCAGCCCACUCCACCACUCUAGCCUCCUAAAACUUCACACUUGUUGGUAAAUAGCCAAGCAAACAAAGCUCUACUUCCUAGAACUUUGACUGAUACCUCUAAGUUACUGGCAGGACCAGUUUGAGUACUGGGUGGAGGAGUGAUGCUGCUUCAUAGGUCUCAAGGUUCAAAAUAUCCUGAGCCAUAGAAAUAACUGUGGCAUCCCCAAACAUCCCAGUACCUUGAAUGAAGAAACAACCCCCCUAGAGAGGGUGCCUGCCCCAGAGGAAGAGCCAGGCGCUGUGGUCCCUCACUCACCAUCCGAUGAAUGUACUUAGUAUGUAAGCCAUGCUCGUCCUCGUCCAGCUGCGACUCAGCGCCUUCCACAUCCUGUUUGUAUUUGGGGCUGAUUGCUACGAUUAUCAUCACUGUCUUCUGUAAUGAGAAGGAGGAAAGCAUGUUUAUGGAAGCAGGAAGCAUGGUUCGUUUGGUGAAGGCCAGCUGGAAACUGGCCAGCAGGACCAUACGCGGUCCCUGACCUGCUGGCCAGUACACGACCAGUCCCUCUGUGAAAGCAAAAGGCAUCAGCGCCGCCCAACCCCCACAGGCCUGCUGUCACCUCUACCCCUCCCCACUGCCUCUGCGCCCAGCACCCACAAACAUGCAGAACAAAUGGUUCUGAGAGGAAUUCUCCUGCCGUCCACAACCUUCUCUAAUAAACAUCUGAUGAAAUCUGAAAUCACUGACUCUGCAUGGAGGCAGAAAGACAUCACCACUGCACGGAAAAGCACCCUUCUUCCCUGCAGCCUGAUGUGAGCUGUCAGUCACCAUGCACCUCCACUGCCCUGCUUCACCUGUGCACAUCAGCACAGUCAGUAGGAGCAGACCCUUCAACACACAGCAAACGCCGGGCUGCAGGCAAAAGGAAGGCAGCAAAACCCAGCCUGCUGAGACUCCCACCCCACCCACUCCUGCCCAAAGAAGUACCCAGACACAGACAUGCUGGCAGCAAUCAAUUUCUAUCUUGUUAAAGCACAGAGUGUCCCAGUGGCUAGUAUAGAUUCUGUCUGUGGAAAACGAAUCACAGGGCUGCAAGUGGGUGCCCUGGGGUAGCAUGCUGCUUAGCUUUCAAAGCUGCCCAGAAACCUCUCAAGCCCAGUCCUACAAAAUGCUUGGAAUGGCCUCCAAUUCAGCUGGGUUCUGCUGCACCCUCCCACCCCCCGCUAUCAUUUCCUCCUUUCCUAUUCUGCUCUAGAAAUUGUUUGUGCUGAUUGUUAUCAACCACCUGUGUCUGGUUUGACCAUUAUUUCCUGCCUCUGCAUGUCCAGGAGGGUGACCCCAUCCUUCCUUUCCAAGUUUUUGCAUAGCUUCUAACAAGAGAGGCUUUGUCCAGGCUUCCUCAGACUCAGACUUGGGGAGAGUAUCAGUGUUUCUACUAUGAAAUAUCUUCACAAGCUAAUUGUUUUUCUCACCAGCACACAUCCUCAGAUUUUUGGAACAUACUUACAUCUCGAAGAUAGCGCUCCAUCCAUUUAAUGAUAUCAAUACCCCGGAUUCUAUCCUCAAAUAUGUCAAUCUACAAGAAAAGGAUGCGCAAAAGAGCUCUUAAUGAGAGCUUUCUCCGAGUGCAGACCUCAAGAAAACACAAGAUCCUACAUACAUGUGCAACCCUAAAAGUAGUGCUCUCAAUAAGGAGGAACACGUGAGACCAAACAGAGAAGCAAAGAGUGUGGAAUGCAUCAGUUAAAAUCUCAAGAAACCCCGAGGCAGAGGAUUAAGAGAUACUGAAGAGAAGAUGAGUCUGUGUGCAUUUAUCUGUGCUUAGCCUGCUCCGAAUGGGAACUCAGCUCUCAAAUGAAGGUGUGUGUGGUAUGUGAUGGUGGAAGUAACCAGCAGCCAGGCAAAUGGCAGAGCGUGGCCCUUUUCCACCUCCAUGUGUAAUAAUUGCAGGACUCCCUUCCCAGACAAGACUGCUCACUCCUGCAGAAAAUGACCUUGUUCUUGAGAGCUGCUGCUAAUUUACAGUGAGGCACUAGGUUUCUACCCAGUGCCACGUGAGCAACCAAUCCAUCUACCCAGGGGCACGGCACUGACGAGCAGCAUCAUUUAGAAGGAAAGAAGUAUGGGUGGUGUUUGUUGUUUCCUGUGUGUUAAGGAAAAUCCAGUGGUAAGCAGUUUGGGAGCAUUGCUUCUGAGCUAGGCUCACUGAGGAAGGGGAAAGCUGCAUUGUACUAUCUACAUAAAAAUAUAGCCGAGAUUCCGGAUGAGUGGCUAAGCCAAACCCUCUGAGCAUGAAACCCCACAAGAAGAAGCCACGAUGCAAACAACUCACGUAAUUCUUCUGGCAAAUUGCUGGUUCUUAGAGUUCCUCGGGCUAAGGGGUUGCUAGGGGGUCUAGGCACGGCAGCUAGGGAUGGAGCCUGGGGACCAUGUGGUCUCAGCUCUGCAGGAAGGUCCAAGGACUCCUCAGGGGCUUCCACUCCAUUAGAUGGUGGGCGGUAGAGCUGGUCCCUGCAAGGGAGUAUGUUUACAGCAAAUUUUUAUCUUCAUCACAAACACAGUUUAGGCAGACAGAAAAACUUUACAAACUGUGGGACCAUUCCAAUGCAUGAUCUCCCCUCUGCCUUAACUUCUUAUCUGACACAGAUGGAGAGGUGGGGCAUGGAGUUUCCUUUGUAAAAAAACCAAGCCAGCUGGUUCCCAUAUGUGAGGACCUGUGCUAGGGGUCAAAAGAGGGACGAGGGAUUUGAUUUCUUUAUUCAAGGUCUGUCUAAUUGGGAAAAUAAAUCCCAUGUACAGGUCAGACAAGGUCACCAGCAAAACAAAAUAGCGUGAUGGGUGACAUAGAAAGAUAAUAGUAAAGGCUGCAAAUAAAAAGACACAGCUUUUAGCUCGGGAG
rnacentral:lncRNA from 1 species